AUUGGCUUCUUAUCUCCUUGAGGUGCGGCGAGGGCCACAGCCAAGAAAGCGACAGCGACGAUCUGGCAGUGCAUCAAGUCAAAAUAAAAGGUUGUCAAGCUGCUCUUCUGAAGACAGUUGAAGGAAUUGUGUGAAGAAGAUUGCGUGUUGGCCACCUUUUAUACCUCGCAGCAGUUGCGGCUGAGUGAAAGUGAUAGGCCAAGACCUUCCGCAGGAAACAUUCUCUUCUCUUCUUCUUCGGGGAUGGACAUUUGAAAGAAAAGUUGUCGGAAAUGUGGCAAAAAUGCACCUGAAAAACCACGUCAUCAUAUUUUCGCGCCUUUGGAUAAGGGGUGCCAAUUCAACCCUCCUGUAUGCAUCGUGUCAAGUUUGUUAUGUGUUGUCGUCAUCGUGCACGGACAAUGUCGUUGACGAAUGGGUUCCCCGAGUACGCUGAGCCACAAAACAAAAGCUGAGGCUUCCCUACUCCACUCCAUCAAGCUGCAAUGCAUUGGGGUUUCGAAUUUUUGUUUUCGGAUGUUCUAACUUAUUGUAACAGGGU